rnacentral:sRNA from 1 species
AUAUCUCUCUGUACGGGAAGGAUGAGAAGCUUCGACCAAGGUUCGAUUCGAGCGUCAGCGAGAAAGCGUUGCCGCAGGCAACGACCCGAAGGGCGAAGCGCGCAGCGCUGAGUCAUCCUUCC